rnacentral:misc_RNA from 1 species
GAUGAAGAACGUAGCGAAAUGCGAUAAGUAAUGUGAAUUGCAGAAUUCAGUGAAUCAUCGAAUCUUUGAACGCACCUUGCGCUCCUUGGUAUUCCGAGGAGCAUGCCUGUCCGAGCGUCAUUUCUGCCCUCGAGCGAGUCCAGCAUCUAGGUGCUGGGCCCGCCCGGCGUUGGGGCACUACGGGAAGCCCUGUGCUGUCCCCCGUAGGCCCCGAAAUGAAGUGGCGGUCCUGCCGCGGCGCCCCCUGCGUAGUAUAACAGCUCGCUUCGGGACCCGGUGGAGGCCUGCCGUCAAACCUUACUCUCUAAGUUUGACCUCGGAUCAGGUAGGGUUACCCGCUGAACUUAAGCAUAUCAAUAAGCGGAGGA